GUGUUAUUCGCUAACACAUAUACUAAAAAUUGGAACGAUACAGAAGAAGAUUAGCAUGGCCCCUGCGCAAGGAUGACACAAAUAUCGUGGAAGCGUUCCUCAUUUUG
rnacentral:snRNA from 1 species